GGGGGUAUAGCUCAAUUGGUAGAGCGCUGCCUUUGCAAGGCAGAUGUUAGGGGUUCGAGUCCCCUUAUCUCCA
rnacentral:tRNA from 1 species